AUACCAUAAGAUAGAGAAAAUAAAAUAAAAAGUGAUAUGAACACCGCAGUGAAUGAAAACAAGAGAGAGUGGUGUGGGUGGGUUUCUCUACUGUGUGUGAAUGGAAUCCAAAGGAAGAAGGAAUAGUAGCGCACACAUACAUGAUACCUACAUGGAUAUGAAGCAAUAUUGCGAGUAAGGAGUAGUGAUUCGUCAAAAACCCCCCUUUUAUCUGUGCCUGCACGCGGAUUGGCUCAACUUGCCUGCUUCCCUUUCCUCUUCUUAUUUUAUUCUUAAAUUAUUAUCUCAUCACAUCACACACUCAGAAAUCAAAUACUCACAAGAGAAAGCAGCAUUGCAAGCCACGUUAUUGUUAUCCACUUCUAAACUCAAUUACUCAACACCCAACAGGCUUGUUUUUAUCCCUCCCUCUCUCUCUCUCUCUUCCAUUCCUUAUCUUACAUUUGUAAUUUACUGCCUUUUAUUCUUUUCGUUAAUUUCUCAUGCUUUUGUUUCCUUCUGUAUCAUUUAUUUAAAUCUAAUCAGACUCGCCCCUAAUUUAGGCAUUAGAUCAAUGGGAGUUUGAUAAGUAGAAUUGUAGAAAUGAAAUCAGUCCUAAUCUUACUGUUACAGUGUUACAUACGUGCUUAGAUAUAUCGUUAUUUUAAUUUUCCUUACUGUUACACAAUUUAUUGGAGAGGUUUUAUCAUACUACUACAGUCAAUGUGUAACACGUGUUUUUAUCAGAAUUGAUGAGGACUCAAUAAUUCUAGGGAAUUAUUGGAAUUAUUGGAAUAAUUAUAGGGAAUUAUUGGCUGUGAAAAUUGUGUUUUGACCUAUAUAGACUGUAUGAUCUCUGUUUCUAUUGAAUUAUAAGGUUAAAUCAGCACUCUUGGGAUAUCCAUAUGCAUUGACAUAUUAGGGUAAUUUGAGAUAAAGAACAAGUCAUUAGAUCAGCAAGUGAUUAGUGAUUAUUAUGCAAUUUGAAAGUUAUGAUGAGUGGGGAUGUAUGGAGCGGUUGAAGUUGUUGCAAGUUGUAUGCUUGUCCUUAUGUCAUAAUGGCAUGGCUUCUCUUUGUGGUGGAGUUCAGAAAAGCUGUAUUAUUAGGAUAGCAACAUUUCCAAAUACUCUCUCAGGUGUCUGAUCCAAUGGUCACUUUUGUAGAGUUACGGUCAUUUAAGUGCAAUCACAUAUCAAUUUUCUUACAACAAUAAAACUGCGGUAAGUAAGUACUAAGUAUUAAGUAUUAGCUGUCAUAUUUUUCUUACCUAAUCUACUAUAUAUGUUUACUGCAUAGUUUUGCAACUAACACAGUUGUUCUGGUACGAAAACACAAAAAGUUAUAGGAGAAUUUAGCGAGCAACAUCGAGUUGAUCUAAUGGUAAGCAAGCUUGUAUCCUUUAUAGUCGUCUCGAGUUCGAAUCAUAGGGAUCAAUUAAAGAAGCUUGUGCACAGAGAGGCAAAACUCCUAAAACAAGAUUAUUGGAGUUUCUAGUAAUAAGAUCUAGAUACUAGAACAAAAGGUCGACAGAUUAAAAUCUUCUAAAGUGAGAAAGUUGGUAAAGUAAGAAAAUAAUAGUUUAAUCACCAUUGAAUUGUAGUGAGACUCACAUGAUAAAAUUUAUAAAUUCAAUGGUGCUUAACGUUUUACUUUAUCACUUUACAAUUCUCUUUACUUUAGAGGAUCUUUUUCCAAGAUGAAAGUAUUAAAUACAUAAAAAAUACCAAAUAUUAUGUAUAAAUGCAUAAAAUAGAGUUGGGGUGGUUUCUAUUGUGAAAGAAAAAAAGAUAAAAUUUUGCUUUAAAUGAUUUGGUAGUAAAUUUAGUUGUUUACCUCAUUUAGAAAUAGACUACAUGGAGGGUUGUUCAGUAAUAAAAAGUAGAAGGUGACUUAAGGAAUUAUAUGUGUAGAAUAUACAUUGAAAUCUAUUUGAAAAUAUAGAUUUUAAUGAUUUUUUUUUUUUGGUGACUUUAUAGAUUUUAAUGAUUUGAAUAUACAAAUUUAUGACAUAAAAAUGUAGCAUCAUUUGAUUGAUAUAGUUGACUCCACCUAGUUGGAUAAAGUUAAGUAGUUGUUAUACUUUGGUCACCUAUUAACCUAGGAGAGGGGACCAGCAUCGGUUCACAUGAAUGUUGCUAGAAUACAAUUUUACAAAGCUAGUAGCCCAAUUUGUCAAUUGUCUUUAGGAUUUUCAGUAUCAACGAAAUGGUAUUUGAUCUUUAUCUUUCUUUUGCUGUAAUUUUGUGCUUCAACUAAACAUUAUAAUGUUUCAGAUUGAAUUUUUUAUUUGUGUAUACAAAAUUUUUAUUGUUUUGAACUUUUGAUUCUGAAUCUCUGGAACAAUUGUUAGGCUUAUCCACUUAUAACAGUUGAAUAACCUUACCUGAAUAAACCUAUGAAAAAUGUCGAGGAAACAUUGAAAGUGAAAACUUUUACCCUGAAGCAGAGACUAGGUAGAAGAAUACACUUAGAUGAUAUUGAAAGGAAGGUGGAGGGAAUGGAGAAUUCUUGUCUUUUAAUUAAUUGUUUGUUACAAGAGGGUCCAAGUUCUCUGCUCCUUGAGCAGACUAAAUGGUCUUCAACUUGUUUUAAACAGAAAAAUUUGGAGUUUCUCUUGUGUCAUAAAUUGUGUGGAAAAUAUAAGACAAGGUUAUAACAAUAGUGGAGAUUCUCCAGUCAUUCUCCAUAGGCUCUUUGCUGACGUUUUAGAAGCUUUGGUCCCAUAUUACUUGCAGACAAGGUAAGGAAAAACACCAAUAAUUGUUCAUUGCCAUAAGUACCCUCUCUGCCUUUUAUUUAUCCUCUCCACAGAUGCAACUUUAAUAGUUUCAUAACAAUUGUAGGCUACUGUUUUCUGAUUCAUUAUUGCACUCUCUUUAUUCAGUUUGGAAAAAGAAAAUUAUAAUUAUUAGUUGGAAUUUUUUAAUGAGUGGAUAAUUUUUAGGAGAGACUUGAAAUAUUCGCAACUGUAGAUAUUGGAUUUGAGCUUCAAUAACUAAUCAGUAGUUGAAUUAUACAGGGUGCAAUCUUGAGCUUUUUGGGGACAAGAAACUGGGCUUAAAGAAAGAAAGUAGAGAUUAUAGAGAAAAAUUAAUAACGGUCCACCUUGAGUAGUGAAAAUGGACAAGGCUAGUAUAAAUAGGUUUGAUCUGUAUUUCUAAAAUGUGGCUUAAAUUUGUUACUUGGUACAGGUUUUCUUUUGGAAAAAGACUCUCUAAAGUGGGGAGAUUGAUGAAGUGAGGGGUUAAUCACCAUUAAAUUUGUAACUUUCAUCGUAUGUAAGUCCCACUAUCUUAAUUUGAGAAUGAUGAAACACUUACUUUCUCACUUUACCGACCUCUUCACGAUAGAGAAGCUUGAUCAUGUAUUCAUGUUUUUCUAAAGCCUAAUUCGGCUAAAAAGCCUACUUAUAAUCGACUAUAGAAAUUCUAGUAGAGCUCUAGGUCUCUCAACAAAGACCUUUUUCUAUUCUCCAAUUUUAAACUCAUUAUCACUUAAUUAAGUGGUCGAAGCACUUAGUUACUUAGACCAAACUCGCAUUGCUUGCCAAAAGAACCCUUGAAAGAUAGGUUGAAAUGUUCCUUAAAUAGGCUAAUUUUAUUUCUAAUUUCUCUUCUAUCAUAUUAUUAAUUUUUAAUUUUAAUAUCAAUAAUACAAGAUAAUUAGGCUAGUCUUCUAGGCCUUAUAACCUUCUUUUAAAAAAAAAAAAAUAAUAGCCUAUUGUUUGAUCUUUUUUAACUGAAAAGGUUUAUUUAGCCUUGCUCGUAUACUAAAUAGGCUAUAGACCAAAUCCAAAAGCCCCUGACAUGUUUUGCCGCUUGAUAUAGGUAAAAGUUGUUUGAUUCCUUGUAGAUAUGUCUGCGUGACUUUAUCUUAUUUCAUAUUUCAUUCAGGUUUUGCUAUUAGCUAGGUUCUAUGUGAACAUUGUGCAUAACGCUUUGAACAAGUGAACCAUAUAGGAAUUCACCUAAGAGAAGCAAGUUGGUAUCAUUGUUGAUGUAGGAUAUGGUAAGUGUAAGUGUGCAACUCUCAAAGUGCCCAUUUAAAGCAAGUAAAAAAGUGGUAACAUUAGUUUGCCUAAAGGGGGGAAGUCUUAAGAUUUUUUUUAAUUAUUUGUAUAUAGUAAGGUCCAAAAUAUUUUGAAGGCCCUAGGCUGUCCCCAACUAUUUAAAGCAUCCAUGAGACCAUCCAUGAGGACCAGCCCUUUCUUCUGAUCACUAUUCUCCUCUGCAUUAUGUGAGCUUUGUCCCUCUAGACUGUAAGAAAAAAAAAAAAACCCCAUGAUUCCACCUCCAUUCUGAAUUCUAUUUGUACCGAAGUUGUUGAUACUUGAUACAUAAACCACAUAAUAGAUAGAUGAGACGUAGAUCCUCCAAAAAGAAUGAAGAAAGAAUGGAAUUAGAUAAGCUUAGCAGUAGGAACCUUGAAGAUCCACCUAUCUCUGGUGCUUACAUCCGGAGCCUAGUGAAACAACUAAACACAUCAACAACAACAACAAAUGAAUCCAUGAACUCAAAAGGCCAAGAUUGUUUUGUUGCAAGAAAACAUGGAAAGGCACAUCAAUCCACACAACAACAACCACAACAGCAGCAUAAGAAACAAGUUAGGAGGAGACUUCACACUAGCAGGCCUUAUCAAGAGAGGCUUCUGAAUAUGGCUGAGGCUAGGAAGGAGAUUGUAACAGCCUUGAAAUUUCACAGGGCUGCUAUGAAGCAAGCCAGGGAAAGACAGCAACAACAGCAACAACAGCAGCAGCAGCCGCCGCCACUGCAAGUGCAAGAACAGCAUCAGCAAAGUUUUGAACAAGAUGGAAGAUUCAAGGGUAGGAGAAACCCCAGAAUUUAUCCAUCAUGCAGAGCCAAUUUUCCAAAUAAAAUGGAGGAUUUUUCAUGUUCAUACUUAUCUCAACCUCUUCCUCCUCCAUCUACCUUGGCUCCAAACUCUUACACCUGGGCUAAUGCUCCUUCCUUAAUUACUCAACCGCCACAAACCCUUUUGGCUGAAAACCCCAAUUUUGUACUUCCUAGUCAGACUCUUGGAUUGAACCUCAAUUUCCAUGAUUUCAACAACUUAGAUGCUACCCUUCACCUUAACAACUCUUCAUUAUCCUCAUACUCAUCUCCAACCUCCUCUUCUCCUCCUCUUUCUGUUGUGACUGAUCAGGAAGCUCAUUCAGUUGGAAUGUCACAGGGCCAGGGAGAUGGAUCUUCUUCACUGGUGGAUACAAUUCAAUCCGGUGCCACGACCCGGACUAGUGGAAGUGGAGAUCUUCAUACAGCCAUGGAUGACGAGGGCAUGGCAGAGAUCAGAUCCUUAGGUGAGCAAUAUCAAAUGGAAUGGAGUGAUACCAUGAACUUGGUCAAAUCAGCAUGUUGGUUCAAGUACUUGAGAAACAUAGAACAUGAGGUACCUGGAGUCAAGAUUGGAGAUGGUUCAUACCAUUUUUUUGAUGAAGUUGUUGAGUUUCCAGCUUGGUUGAAUGCAAAUGGGAGCUGCUUAGAGAAGUGCUCUGAUGACUACUUCCAAGAUUCUGCCUUACCUUGGCCUGGUGGAAUACUCACUUUUUGAAGCUUGCCCUGUGGAAAAUAUUUAGAUAAAACAUACGUUUUGACUUUGGUGUACAAAAUCAGAGCAUGGACAUUGGAGAUAUUGAAAGCAUGGAUGGAGAUUGGUUAGCAUGAGAAGGAUUCAUUGUUUUGGUCACAUCAAAAUUUUGCUCUGAUUUUGUAGUUUCUUUUGCUUUAGGUAAAUGGGGUUUUGGGUACUAUUAUUAUCAUUCCCCUCCUCCCCUCUUCUUUUUGGUUUUUUGGAUAUUUUUAUUAUUAUAUAUAUAGGGCUUGAAAAAAUUUAAAAGAGGAUGAUAGCAUCAAUAUUCAAUAGUAUGAGUGAGACAAUUUUUUUUCUCCCAUUACUCUUAUGUCAAUGUAUUUGUUGUAAUAAUGAUUAAUAUCAAUCAGUAGUGUUAAAUUCUCUUUGAAUCUUAAA